rnacentral:lncRNA from 1 species
CGGGGGGGUGGCUUGGCAGAAGGAUCACGCGUGGGGGACAGAGCUGGCGAGAGCCCGGGCUCCCUGCUCCGCCCGGCCUCCCGCUGGCUGCGGGCUCCCCAGGCUGGAGCGGACCGGACGGGGGCGAAGACCUGCCCGGCGAAGCCGUGGCGUCCCUCCAGCCUCGCGGUGCCGGAACGUAUCCGCCUCAACGGGGCGCACGGAUGACAGGUCCUGCCUCUCCCGGUCUCGUUCUCUCUUGGAUCUUUUUGCGGUCUGGGCUUGCUGUUCCUCCAAUCAGUAGUCAGGAAGCCCUUACCCCAAAAAGUAUUUGCGAGGGAUAAGGUCAGCGGGGAAGAAAGGCCGGGGGACCUGAGGCCGAAGGCGAGACUCAGAGCAGGCUCCUGAUGAAGAGAUUCGUCCCCCCAAGAGGAAGGAAAUCGAGUCAGGCUGGACUCCCCGCUUGUGAAGGCGAAGCUUGUGGUGGUGGAGGAAAGUGUCCAAGCAGGGACCCCGGAGCCCUCCAUGGAGUCACAGGCCAGGUAUGGUAACAGCGGGUGCUUCCUCCAAGCACCCCGAUACAUCCCGCUGCGGCCUUGCGGGAACACC